UCCGCCUUGGCAGUGGGCGCGUUGGAGUGGGCAUGGAGCGCUCGUGUGGAGCGGGCGUGGGCACCUUGGUUUGACCACAGCUGGUGUCAUCCUUGGCAGAUGGUCAAACUGAGGCACAGAGGCCACUCCAACCCUAGCGUUCGGGACCGGCCUCCCGGCCACGGGUGAGCAAGGGUCUCACACUGUGUCUUGACGCCACCAGGUCGCGUGGGGCAGGCAGUGGCGCUGCGGGCCAAGGCCUUCGGCUUCAAUGUGCUCUUCUACGACCCUUACUUGUCGGAUGGCGUGGAGCGGGCGCUGGGGCUGCAGCGUGUCAGCACCCUGCAGGACCUGCUCUUCCACAGCGACUGCGUGACCCUGCACUGCGGCCUCAACGAGCACAACCACCACCUCAUCAACGACUUCACCGUCAAGCAGAUGAGACAAGGGGCCUUCCUGGUGAACACAGCCCGGGGCGGCCUGGUGGACGAGAAGGCGCUGGCCCAGGCCCUGAAGGAGGGCCGGAUCCGCGGCGCGGCCCUGGAUGUGCACGAGUCGGAACCCUUCAGGUGCCCCCACGGCCAGUGCCGCCCCCCUGCUCUUCCCUGUCCACCAUCCUGCCGGCCUUGACCUCCAGACGGCGCCUCUGCCAGGCCGGACACUUGCCUGUACUCAGGCCUCUCGCUGGCCAGCAGUGGGGGAGUUUGCCGCCCGCUGCGGGGUGAGGAUGGAGCCACGGGCUCUAGGCCUGCCUUGCCUCGGUCCUGUGAGGGGCUGCUCAACCUCCUCAGCCCUUCUUUGGGCAGGGCUCCUGACCAGCCAGGAGAGAGUGAGGCCCCAGUGUCCGUGAGUGGUCCCCAUGGGCCCUGGCCAUGGAGUCAUGGCAUCCCGUCCAGACCUGCAGCCCCUACAGCGCCUUGG
rnacentral:sRNA from 1 species